AUUGAACGCUGGCGGCAUGCCUUACACAUGCAAGUCGAACGGCAGCACGGGAGCAAUCCUGGUGGCGAGUGGCGAACGGGUGAGUAAUACAUCGGAACGUGCCCAGUAGUGGGGGAUAACCCGGCGAAAGCCGGACUAAUACCGCAUACGACCUACGGGUGAAAGCAGGGGAUCGCAAGACCUUGCGCUAUCGGAGCGGCCGAUGUCAGAUUAGCUAGUUGGUGGGGAAAGGCCUACCAAGGCGACGAUCUGUAGCUGGUCUGAGAGGACGACCAGCCACACUGGGACUGAGACACGGCCCAGACUCCUACGGGAGGCAGCAGUGGGGAAUUUUGGACAAUGGGCGCAAGCCUGAUCCAGCCAUGCCGCGUGCGGG
rnacentral:rRNA from 1 species